rnacentral:rRNA from 1 species
AUGCUUAACACAUGCAAGUCGAACGGAAACGAAGGAAGCUUGCUUCCAGGCGUCGAGUGGCGGACGGGUGAGUAAUGCUUGGGAAUCUGCCCAAUAGUGGGGGAAAACUCGGGGAAACUCGAGCUAAUACCGCAUAAGCUCUUCGGAGGAAAGAGGGCCUCUACAUGUAAGCUCUCGCUAAUGGAUGAGCCCAAGUCAGAUUAGCUUGUUGGUAAGGUAAUGGCUUACCAAGGCUACGAUCUGUAGCUGGUCUGAGAGGAUGAUCAGCCACACUGGGACUGAGACACGGCCCAGACUCCUACGGGAGGCAGCAGUGGGGAAUAUUGCACAAUGGGCGAAAGCCUGAUGCAGCAAUGCCGCGUGUGUGAAGAAGGCCUUAGGGUUGUAAAGCACUUUCAAUAGAGAAGAAAAGCUUGAGAACAAUACUUUCAAGUCUUGACGUAACCUAUAGAAGAAGCACCGGCUAAUUCCGUGCCAGCAGCCGCGGUAAUACGGAAGGUGCGAGCGUUAAUCGGAAUUACUGGGCGUAAAGCGCGCGUAGGCUGUUAAAUAAGUCGUAUGUGAAAUCCCCGGGCUUAACCUGGGAACUGCAUCCGAAACUAUUUAGCUAGAGUAUGGGAGAGGGAAGUAGAAUUUCCGGUGUAGCGGUGAAAUGCGUAGAUAUCGGAAGGAACACCAGUGG